GACGAACGCUGGCGGCGUGCUUAACACAUGCAAGUCGAACGGAAAGGCCCUGCUUUUGUGGGGUGCUCGAGUGGCGAACGGGUGAGUAACACGUGAGUAACCUGCCCUUGACUUUGGGAUAACUUCAGGAAACUUGGGCUAAUACCGGAUAGGAGCUCCUGCUGCAUGGUGGGGGUUGGAAAGUUUCGGCUGUUGGGGAUGGACUCGCGUCUUAUCAGCUUGUUGGUGGGGUAGUGUAUUACCAAGGCAUUGACGGGUAGCCGGCCUGAGAGGGUGACCGGCCCAGUCAGGCCGGAGAUGAGGCACAGCCUAGUCUCGGAGGCAAGGGUGGGGAAUAUUGCACAGGAGGAUGGAGGCUGAUGUGGCCACGCCGCGCGCGGGGUGAGGGGAAUGCGGUUGUAAAGCAAAUUCGUCUGUGACGAAGCGUGAGUGACGGUAAUGGGUAAAGAAGCACCGGCUAACUACGUG
rnacentral:rRNA from 1 species